rnacentral:SRP_RNA from 1 species
UCGUGCUAGACGGGGAACUAGCGGUGCCCUGCACCCGCAAUCCGCUACAGCGGGGUUGAAUUCCCUAUCGAGGUCCGGCACUGUGGGACUACAUUUGCUAAGUGGCGUUGAAGAUCGGGUCCUACGCGGCAGGAGCCUAUGAACCCCGUCAGGGCCGGAAGGCAGCAGCGGUAAAUAGAUACUUUUGGGUGCCGUAGGGUCGCCUGGUUGGAG